GUUCUGCCCCCUCCCCCAAGCACGCUUUGCCCUCCUGCCCAGCGCCUCCUGACGCCACGAAACAUCUGAUCCACAAGGUGCUGAGAGGGAGGGGAGGCAUUGAUCGGUGGGGCUCGCCGAUGGGCAGGAGGCACUGGGUGGAGGUUCUGGUAGGGGGGCUCCUCGCCCCAGCUUGCCACUUGCCUCCCCAUUUGCCUCACCUUGCUCGCCUGCCCGCCUCCUGCCUCACCUCCCAGCCUGCCUUCUCACAAUUUUAUUGAAGCGUGGGGUCCCCCAAAGCGCAGGGCCCAGGGCAGUUGCCCUGAUUCACUGUACCCAAGGGACGGCUCUGGCCCUUUCUGAUUUUUCUGAUUGGCUAUUUGUUUUCCUUUUAACUGGAUUUAGCUGGCUUCGGGUAGCAACUUAGGGGAAAGGGCCUGUUCACAGUUUCUCCAAAGUGAAUGGAGGGGAAAAGGAUGCCUGAGGACUGAUGAGGGGGGCGUUAAAUGAGUGAGUUUUGGUUAGCCACUGCUGUGCUGUGCUUUAAAAUGGUGUUCAGAGACACACACUUUGAACAUUUUGGUAUUCUUUAAAGACAGAUAAAAUGAAGUUCAGAUUCCAAAGCUUUAGAGUUCACAUUGUCAAGAUAUACUGAGUGAUAUAAAGCAAUUAUUAGAAUUACAUAUUUAUUUUAUAAAUUGAGUAAGUAAAUUGGGGAUGAAGGUUGUAAAAUGUUUGAAAGACCUGUAAUUUAAAACUUUAAACAAAAUCAGAAAAUCCUGGAAAUACUCAUUGAAGGUUCCAAGAUCACCUUUAACUCUGCCGCUUGUCUCCAGCCCCAAGCCCCGCUAACUUCCAAGUAUAUUCCCCAGUAACUUAGAAAACCGAAACAGUUCACCUGGACACUCAUCCCCACUCUCACUGACCAGAAGCCGAAGGCUAGUUCCCUUUCCUAUUCUAUUCUGUAGAGAUUCUUAUAUUGCACUCAUCACCAUAGUAUCUGAAGCUCCUCAAACGUACUUAGGUACAUAAAUACCUUUGAGGAUCUGGGCCUGAGUGUCUUCCAUUAGUAUAUUCAACAAUGUGACUAUGUGUCUGUCACAUGACGUUUGUUCUGUCAUCCUGUCCCCAGGCAGAGAAGUGUGUGCAGUGGGGUGUUUUAUUUUGGAAUGUAUUUAUUGACAAACCUGUUGCUAUAUGUUCCCUGCCCUCACGGUACAGGCCAGAAAGCUCUUCACAUAUGAUCUGCACAAGCUCCUGCCCACAUCCACCACCUGUCUAUACCCCAGAGCCCGUUCAUUCUCUCCAUACUGAUCAGAGAGCCCACACUCCAAAUACAAGAACCCAGCCUAAACUGCUACAGACUACAAGUCUCAAAUGCCCUACAGGCACUGGCAAGAUGCCCCUUAACUCUCAUGUCUGAUACAGGCCCGAAGGGUGAGUGUAGGGUAGAUUAUUUACAUGAAAACACCAGACUGAGGCAGUUCCUGACACAAAAGGAACCACUUACGUUUUUUACUUUACAAUUUAGGUCCCAGUUCUACAAUGAGCUGCUUGUGUUCAGAGCUCUGUGCGCAAAUGAAGCCCCAUUGAUGUUGGGCUUUGCAGAGGGGUCAUUGCAGGAAUGGGAGUCUCAGCCAGGGGCAAAGAAAUGAGAGUAAAGGGCAGAGUGAAGAGUGAUUUUUGAAAUCUUAACCAUUUCCAGACUCUCUUGUGCAUAGGGGUUUUUUUAACCACAUCCUAAUACUUGGUAGCUUUCUGUUGUUUCCUUAAGACAGACUGCUUUACUUUCAGUUUUUUUUAUCACUAACAUUUUUAAAAAAUGUAUUGAUUUAAAUUGAUCAAGGACAAGUUUCAGUGGAGGCAGUCUGUGGAAGACAUUUGCCUUCUUCCAGCAGCUUCUCUAUGCCUCUGUACUCCAUGAAAGCCAAUUAGCUGAUUGGAGGAGAAUUUCCCCUGGUGCAAGCAAUAUGCAGGAUUUCACAAGCCCGAGCAUAGGGGGUGUUUUAUGGGUGGGUAGGAGGUGAGGCCCCUUAGCAUACACAGCUGUUGGGAUUCUCAGCUGCUUCAGGCUGUAGUGCGACCUAUAGGCAGCACAGGAAGGAAGGAGAGAAAAAUUAGAGCAGUUUCUUGUUCUCUAUGCUGGUGGCUGCAUUGAAUUUUGAACAAUCUAUUAAAUAAAGAAAAGGAGUACUUGUGGCACCUUAGAGACUAACAAAUUUA